rnacentral:lncRNA from 1 species
UCCAGUUUCGAUUUAAUCAUAUUAAAACGAAUAACAGUACACCCAGAAUUUAUCAUAUAUUUCCAGUUUCGAUUUAAUCAUAUUAAAACGAAUAACAGUACACCCAGAAUUUAUCAUAUAUUUCCAGUUUCGAUUAAUCAUAUUAAAACGAUUCUUCAUGCUUCUAAUCCGAUUAGAAUAGUUAUAUUGUUAUUCCACCGAUUAAAGAUACGAUUAACAGUAUCAUCAUAUAUAUUACCAGAAUACACAUUCAACGGAAUAUCAUAUAUUCAAUUUUAUAUCGGUAAACAUGCAUCAUCAUAUAUCAUAUAUAUCGAAUACAAUUAAAACACGUAAUCUGAAUUAAUCUUUUCGCAAGUAGCUCUGAUACCA